UACGUAGGGGGCAAGCGUUGUCCGGAUUUAUUGGGCGUAAAGAGCGUGUAGGCGCCAGACAGGUCCGUUGUGAAAACUCGAGGCUCAACCUCGAGACGCCGAUGGAAACCGUCUGGCUAGAGUCCGGAAGAGGAGAGUGGAAUUCCUGGUGUAGCGGUGAAAUGCGCAGAUAUCAGGAAGAACACCCGUGGCGAAGGCGGCUCUCUGGGACGGUACUGACGCUGAGACGCGAAAGCGUGGGGAGCGAACAGGG
rnacentral:rRNA from 1 species